AUAUAUGUACAUCGAUAUGGCGU
rnacentral:siRNA from 1 species